GUCGUCAGCUCGUGUCGUGAGAUGUGGUUAAGUCCCGCAACGAGCGCAACCCUUGAUCUUAGUUGCCAGCAUUCAGUUGGGCACUCUAAGGUGACUGCCGGUGACAAACCGGAGGAAGGUGGGGAUGACGUCAAAUCAUCAUGCCCCUUAUGACCUGGGCUACACACGUGCUACAAUGGACGGUACAAAGGGCUGCCAACCCGCGAGGGGGAGCCAAUCCCAGAAAACCGUUCUCAGUUCGGAUUGCAGGCUGCAACUCGCCUGCAUGAAGCCGGAAUCGCUAGUAAUCGUGGAUCAGCAUGCCACGGUGAAUACGUUCCCGGGCCUU
rnacentral:rRNA from 1 species